UACGAAGGUGGCAAGCGUUGUUCGGAUUCACUGGGCGUACAGGGUGUGUAGGCGGUUUGGUAAGCCUUCUGUUAAAGCUUCGGGCCCAACCCGGAAAGCGCAGAGGGUACUGCCAGGCUAGAGGGUGGGAGAGGAGCGCGGAAUUCCCGGUGUAGCGGUGAAAUGCGUAGAGGUCGGGAGGAACACCGGUGGCGAAGGCGGCGUUCUGGACUGCAUCUGACACUGAGGAACGAAAGCCAGGGGAGCAAACGGG
rnacentral:rRNA from 1 species